rnacentral:lncRNA from 1 species
CAAGGAUUUGUCCAGAGCAGACACUGAUCUCUUUCUGUGGGGCAGCUCCCCUCACCCUGUCAGCCAACAUGACCUGUCAGCUUGUCGCCGGUGGACACAGGAGCUGGUGCUGGGAUUUUGACAUCAAUGGAAAGACUUCAGCUCAAGUUGACUCAAGACGCAAAAUGUGGACAGAGGAACCUUCUGGACGCAGCUGCAUGAAAGACAACUGGGAGAAGGACAAGGAAAUGACCAGUAUCUUAUACAGGACCUCAGAGGGAGACUGUCAGAAAUGGCGUGAGGAGUUACUGAAGCACUUGAAAAGGCAGGAGGAGCCCACAGCACCUCCACCCACCACACAAAACUUGCCCCCAUCCAGCUCUGUGGUGAUCACUCCAAAUGUGUGGGUCCUGCUGCUGAUCAUCACCUGCUCCAUCCUAUGUUGUUUCUAUGGAGAGAUUCAGUGACAGGUGCGGUGGGCGUGCUUUGAGGGAGAGCAAGGGAAUGAGGGUCGAGGAGUAAGGCUGGGAAAAUGGAACCUCAGAGUGCCUAUUCUGAGUUCACGUGUACUCAGGACAUUUUGGGGGGCUCCCAGAUGAGGAGAGAGAGGAGGAGGAAGGCUAUCUGCAGCCACACUCAAGGCCAGGGGAACCAGGUUCCAGGCCUCUAUGUUGGGAACCCCCCGCCCCAGCCUGUCUCUAGCCCCUUCCCUGAGAGGGAGGAGCAGGCUCUGGGUCAGGGAGCAGAUCCAGUCUCCACAGCUUCAGUGCUGAGCAGCACUAAUGCUAAGCAGGGCCUGUGGCUGAUGCUGGGAUGAGGGGAAGGACGAGGAGGCUGCUACAGGCUCCAGGGGCAGGGACUGAGAGUGGGAGGGGAACACAUGACCCUUAGUGAGGGCAGACCCGAGGUUGGGCUGACUAGGGAGGAGUCCCCAGCAGAACUGACGCAGGGCUUCCUCAGACCCUGGGAGUUACAUUUGCUGCUUUUCUCAAGGUUGACGGUGCUGGAGAGAAGCUCCUGAAAAGGUGAUCAAGUAAAAUUCAUCUCCUGAGUGGUCAUCUGCCAGUCCACCAUCCGCUGUCCAUUCCGAGGCUCCGGCAAGCCAUUGAGACUGGAGCUGGGCUGCCUGGUUCUCCUCUGCUUUCCCACAUGAAGUGAGGGGUCAGCGUGUCGCUUGAGGCCCACCAUGAUCCCACACAGACCUCUGUGGCGGCUUUGUUCCUCCUGACCACAGCAGCCCAUUCCUCUGGUGCUACCCAGUGGUCCUUGUCAUCCCAGAGCCCAGUUAUUGCCAGGAAGUUGCUCUGACUUCAACAUCUCGUGCCCUUUGGGCCAUUUAGGUUGCUCCCACUGUGCACUUUUAUUAACAUCUCAGGCCAUUUUCUCUUGGCGCCAACUGAAGGCAUCUUUCCCUUGGAUUCCUAAAUGCUUGAACUAAAGUCUGGACGGAGAGAGGAAUUUCUAUCUGCUGCUUUGUUGUAUGUGAUGAAAUAAUCCUCAGAGCCCUAACAGUAACCUUGUUGUAAGGAUCCUGCCACUGAAAUAUGUUGAACCUCACACUUCAGGGAUUAGUCGUAUAUCCUCUAUUUUUAAAAAGCAUUGAAUUCUUUUGAUUGUGUCCUUUAAUAACUUACCACCUGACAUUUAAAGGAAGCUCUUCAUUUUGAAACAAACAUCUGAAUUAGUCUGUAAUUUGGUUUUACGAUCCAUGUGGUAGAUAUUUUCUUGUAUCAACCUGAUUGCCCAAGGGUUGUCGUAACUGUAAUUGUGGUAAUUAUUAUUAUUGUGGUAAUUAUUAUCAUGUGGUUAUUAUUAUUGUGGUAAUUAUUAUUAUGUGGUAAUUAUUGUUGUGGUAAUUAUUAUUAUUAUUAUUAUUAUUAUUAUUAAGAUAUUUGUGUCUAUGAGGGAUUUUCUGACAGAGAUUCUUACUUGCAGCGCAAAGCUGAACCCAUUACAUCCUUUCCACUCAUUGAUAAAAGAAAAAGGCGGAGGAAGGACAAAUUCACUGUGCUCCAGCUGAGCCAUCCCUCUGCUCCAGACCUGGGACUUGACAUUUGUGCUUCUGUUCCUCAGGCUCCCCGACUAGACCAGGACCUACACCAUCUGCCAUCCACGCCAGGUCUUCCCACUCACACUCACUGCCUUUCUUGAUUCUUAAUCUGCUGACAGCCGAUUGGCAGACAUCGUGGGCACCAUACCCUGUAAGCCUAUUUCCACAACAAACCUGUGGUUUCUAUUUCCCUGGAGAACCCUGAUUAAUAUGAAUUUAUAGUGUGAAUGAUAAUUCAGUCUACCUUCAUAUUAUUGAGUCAUUUGUAAAACAAAUUAUUUUUCUGAAUUUGUUUACGAAACAGGGAGUUUAGGAAUCACCCUCAAUUUAAGAAGGGGUCUAAACAUUUUUGUGACUAUCAAGCAAACAAUAUAUGCUCUGCUGGGUGUGCUGGCACACCCCUGUAAUCCCAUCACACAGGAGGCUGAGACAGGAGGACUGCCAUGAGUUCAUGAGUUCAAGAUAAGACUGGGCUGCAUAGUGAGUUUAAAACCAGAGUGAACUACAUAGUGAGACUCUGUCUUAGAAAAACAAAACGAAAAGAAAAACAUGCUCUUAUGUUAAGGAAUACAAUUUUUGUCUGAUUUUUCUCCAGCACUUCCUGCUUCAGUAGUGAUUUUCUUAUGGUUCCUAGUUCCUGACCUCCCAUUGAGUUAGAAGGAAUGUUCACAGCACAAUGCCCUCUAUCUCUUAAGUUUUUUAUUCUCUUGCUUAUAGUAUCACUUCCACAGUACUCCUACCAACAUCUAAUUCUUCUAAGGUAUGGGCAAACAGUAUGAAUAGUUCAUAGUACCACAGCCUUCAGAAAGAUUCAACAUAUUCCAAAUAAUUAAGAUAAUAGAAACUAAAAGAACCAUGCAACUUUCCCAUACAACCAACAAGUUGAUAAUGUUCAAAUAUAUCCAUACUAAGUGGUGGAUAGGAGAAGGAACACAGAGUUGUCUUACCUUGUGGCUAGAAGUAUAAAUUGAAGCAAUCUUUUGACCCAUAAUUUGAUGUUUCCAGUACACCGGACAAUAUGAUCACUGUACUUUACAAUAGUCCCAGUGUUAGUUCUAGAAUUCCACACAGGGUGAAAUACCAUGUAGAUAUAUAGUUGAUUGCCAAGGUAUUGUAUGUAUAACAAAAAAAAAGGAACAAUAACCUGUCCAGUUAAAUUAGAACAAUUUUUUAAUAUUGAUGACAUUUUUCUGUGUGGCUGUAUUUUAAACAAAUUAAACUAUUAUAAAAAAUGAAGCAACUAACAUGUUGGUGGAAAUUGUUUUAAGUCUUUCUAAUAUACUCAUGAGUUCUUCGGAUUGACAUAAAUUAAUACUGAUCUUAUAAAUUCAAACCUCUCCCCACAUCUUCAAAAUUUCAUAUGUCAACAAGCGGGACAAAUAAAAUACCAUAAAUCUCACCUUAAACAAUCAAAGAGACACCAAACAUGAUCUAUGUGGUAGAUAUUUUCUUGUAUCAACCUGAUUGCCCAAG